rnacentral:rRNA from 1 species
AUUGAACGCUGGCGGCAUGCCUUACACAUGCAAGUCGAACGGUAACGCGGGGCAACCUGGCGACGAGUGGCGAACGGGUGAGUAAUGCAUCGGAACGUGCCCAGUAGUGGGGGAUAGCCCGGCGAAAGCCGGAUUAAUACCGCAUACGACCUACGGGUGAAAGCGGGGGACCGUAAGGCCUCGCGCUAUUGGAGCGGCCGAUGUCAGAUUAGGUUGUUGGUGGGGUAAAAGCCUACCAAGCCGACGAUCUGUAGCUGGUCUGAGAGGACGACCAGCCACACUGGGACUAAGACACGGCCCAGACUCCUACGGGAGGCAGCAGUGGGGAAUUUUGGACAAUGGGGGCAACCCUGAUCCAGCCAUGCCGCGUGCGGGAAGAAGGCCUUCGGGUUGUAAACCGCUUUUGUCAGGGAAGAAACGCUCUGGUCUAAUACCCCGGGGUAAUGACGGUACCUGAAGAAUAAGCACCGGCUAACUACGUGCAGCAGCCGCGGUAAUAC